AGUGAUAUUCUUAUAUUUAUCAUAAUAGCUUUCGGAAUCUGAUUCCAAAAGUUGAAGUAGGUCCGUAAUUUUGAAUAUGACUUAUGUGCAAAAUUUGAGGUCAUUCAGGCGUGGUUUGAUAGGUUUCGGCAUCGGUUAUGGAAAUUUGCAGCUUCGACAUGCUUGCUUAUGGGUAAUUUAAGUUUUGUUUGAGGGCAUAUUAGACUUUUGAGCUUAUCUGUAUACGUGCCUUUUCCAUAUUUACCCAACUACUACGUGUAGCGUUUACGUUAUUACAGAGGUGGGUUUUAUUGGAUUUGCGUACAUCAUCAGAUAUCUUCGUCUUCCUCAUCUUUUCAACUUGUGCAGGUGCUUUUCUUAUUACUUAAUAUGAAUUUUAUUGUUUUCUAUCUCUUUCUAGGUGCUGCUGAAAAUUUAAGGAGUUUGAGGAGUUUAAGAUUAUAAAUAGGUCAUUUCACAUGACCUCUAUACGUGCCCUUUCAUGCGAUGCGCAGAUACUACGUGUAGGUUUUAAGCUAUUCCCACAUGUACACUUUUCUCAUAUCAACGCUGACAGCACCCUUGCCUUGAUAAUCCUAAAGUUUUAAAUUCUUCUGUUCCUCUUCUUCAGUUCUCUACCGUUGUUUCUUUCUUGAUUUUUCCCCAUACCUUUUUGUUCUGCUCAUGGUAGUUAUACAAUAUCUGUAUACGCUUUUCUAUAUCUACCCAACUACGACGUGUAGUGUUUACGUCAUUACAGAGUGUGGGUUUCAUUCGAUUUAUGUACAUCACAAUUUACAGAGCUUCAGAUAUCUUCGUCUUCCUCAUCUCUUCAACUUGUGCAGGUGCUUUUCUAAUUACUUAAUAUGAAUUUUAUUAUUUUCUAUCUCUUUCUCCUUCUUUUUUGUUUCAAAUUCGUUAGAACAGAGUGAAUUAAUUACAGAUUUUCGAGUUAGGGUUUGAUGGAUGAAAUUAGGACUUUUUUUUUUGAGAUGAAUUGAAAUCAAGAAAACAAAUUCUGUUUCUUCACUUGCUUUAUUCCUGUCGGCAUGGUGGCACUGAAGAGCAGUGUUUAACAAUAAUCCACCAUAACCCACCAUAGUCAAAGUAUAGCGUCAAGAAACAACAAAUAAAAUUCAGUUUAUAAUCCUUUUUUAAGUUCAAAUUCAAGUUUGAUCUAAAGCCGUUUUGCUCGAUUGUUGUUAUGCUUCUGCUUUUUAUGCUUAGCUUCUUUGUUUCCCUAAUCAUUAGCUUUUAUUUGAUUUGUUCAUUUAAUGAUUUCUCCAUUUGCUAUUUGAUUUUGGGAUUUGUUGCUUGAGAGAUAUAUAUAGGUAUUGGCGAUUUCGCUCUCUGUGUUUUCGACUUGGGUGGAUUACGAAGGUUUGUUGAUUAGGAUAUCUAAAUUAUAUAUAGUUUAUCAAACAAAGUUGAUGUAUAACGACUGCGGGAAGGAAACUUCAUAGCAUAUGGAGAGUACUUUGUCAGACAAAUGAAUGGUUCACAGUUCUCAUCUUUCAGAUAACAGUAUAAAAUAAAAUGAAAUACUAUAUUUUAAGUGAUAUUCUUAUAUUUAUCAUAAUAGCUUUCGGAAUCUGAUUCCAAAAGUUGGAGUAGGUCCGUAAUUUUGAAUAUGACUUAUGUGCAAAAUUUGAGGUCAUUCGGACGUGGUUUGAUAGGUUUCGGCAUCGGUUAUGGAAAUUUGCAGUUUUGACAUGCUUGCUUAUGGGUAAUUUAAGUUUUGUUUGAGGGCAUAUUAGACUUUUGAGCUUAUCUGUAUACGUGCCUUUUCCAUAUCUACCCAACUACUACGUGUAGCGUUUAUGUUAUUACAGAGGUGGGUUUUAUUGGAUUUGCGUACAUCAUCAGAUAUCUUCGUCUUCCUCAUCUCUUUAACUUGUGCAGGUGCUUUUCUUAUUACUUAAUAUGAAUUUUAUUGUUUUCUAUCUCUUUCUAGGUGCUGCUGAAAAUUUAAGGAGUUUGAGGAGUUUAAGAUUAUAAAUAGGUCAUUUCACAUGACCUCUAUACGUGCCCUUUCAUGCGAUGCGCAGAUACUACGUGUAGGUUUUAAGCUAUUCCCACAUGUACACUUUUCUCAUAUCAACGCUGACAGCAGCCCUGCCUCGAUAAUCCUAAAGUUUUAAAUUCUUCUGUUCCUCUUCUUCAGUUCUCUACCGCUGUUUCUUUCUUGAUUUUUCCCCAUACCUUUUUGUUCUGCUCAUGGUAGUUGUCUUAUCUGUAUACGCUUUUCUAUAUCUACCCAACUACGAUGUGUAGCGUUUAUGUCAUUACAGAGUGUGGGUUUCAUUCGAUUUAUGUACAUCACAAUUUACAGAGCUUCAGAUAUCUUCGUCUUCCUCAUCUCUUCAACUUGUGCAGGUGCUUUUCUA
rnacentral:lncRNA from 1 species